GUUUCAAAUAGCUCACUUAGCCUUACCUUUUAUCUUUCAUUGUUAGCCAACUUUGAGCCUAUGCUAAAUCCAUUUGUUCUUAAUUUUAGCACAUUACAAGUCCUAAGUGAAAAACAAUAAAUGUCCCUUGUUUGGAUCUUUGAUUAGCUUAGGCUAGUGAGAGUGUUUAUCAUUUGAUUUGGGAGAGUUGGGAACAUUGGAUAGAG
rnacentral:lncRNA from 1 species